UACGGAGGGUGCAAGCGUUAUCCGGAUUCACUGGGUUUAAAGGGUGCGUAGGCGGCCAACUAAGUCAGACGUGAAAUCCCUCGGCUUAACCGGGGAACUGCGUCUGAUACUGGAUGGCUUGAGUUCGGGAGAGGGAUGCGGAAUUCCAGGUGUAGCGGUGAAAUGCGUAGAUAUCUGGAGGAACACCGGUGGCGAAGGCGGCAUCCUGGACCGAUACUGACGCUGAGUGAGCGAAAGCCAGGGGAGCAAACGGG
rnacentral:rRNA from 1 species